UACGUAGGAUGCAAGCGUUAUCCGGAAUCAUUGGGCUUAAAGGGUCCGUAGGCGGGACAAUAAGUCAGUGGUGAAAGCCUGCGGCUUAACUGUAGAACUGCCAUUGAUACUGGUGUCCUUGAGUAAUUAUGAAGUGGUUAGAAUAUGUAGUGUAGCGGUGAAAUGCAUAGAUAUUACAUAGAAUACCGAUUGCGAAGGCAGAUCACUAAUAAUUCACUGACGCUGAGGGACGAAAGCGUAGGUAGCAAACAGG
rnacentral:misc_RNA from 1 species